ensembl:miRNA gga-mir-1699 gga-mir-1699
GCCUGGAAGCCCUGCGCACCCGCCCUUGGCAUGCUCCUCUCGGCCUCUGGAAACAUCCCCAGAGGGACAUGGCAGGGCAAGGUGCUCAAGGCAUAGC